CAGCAGGAGAGAGAGAGAGAAGGAGAGAGAACUAAGCAGAGUCAGCCAUGCAGCACAGGAGCUGUUUGUGCUCAAUAUAAGUCCAAAAUGUGGCUAACGGCCAGUUUAAACCACUUGUGUGACUUUCUGUGACAUCUUUGAUGAGGACACGGACAGUGUUUCUGACGAGCCCAGUGAGCUACAUAGAGCUUGAGAGCUGACGAGGGAGCUGUUUCAUGACUUCUUGGCUGUUCCACCAUUCCAUGAGCAUCGCUCUCACCCUAAACUUCUACUAGACUGCCUAAACUACAACUUCACUGAUUCUACGUCGUCCUGCUUUCACCAGACACCCAGAACAUUCUCUAGAGAGGUCGUGAGUACUGAGUGUGCACAAACAAAUAUGUUAUUUUGCUUACUUUAAGUGAGUGAAGCGGCUAUUAAAGUUUCGAGCCUCACCGUACCCAAGCCACGACUCAGGCCUGCAACUUUUUGUUUCUUUUAUUUUUCUAUUACUUUUCUGAGUGUGUGUGAGUGUGCGUGUGUGGGCCCACAAGUUAGGUAUUUCUUUGUUUAUUUGUUCAGAGCUGUUAUUUACAUUUUUUUGGAUAAUAUUUUGGGUUAAAUUAUUGUUAAUUAGUAUACUGGAUAAGCUGCAACACAUAUGUCUAAAACCUCAUUUAUUUCAUUUAUAAUUUAAAACUGUGAUACCUGAUCUGCCAAAAUUCAUACAAUAAUCUGAGUAAAAGAAAGGUAGCUAAGCAUUAAAACUCAUUUUUUU